CGUCCGGAGGCGUGUGCGUGUGUGUGUGUGAGUGCGCGCGCGCGCUACCGUGUCCUCGGCUAUGAACGUGGGAACGGGUUCAGCUGCCUCGCUUAGCCUAAUGAUAGUGACAGACCUGGAAUGGUUCACCAGGAUGAACCAACAGAUCCCCCUGGCCUGAAGGAAGUCAAUUGGGAGCAAGGCUUGGAAAGGUGGUUGCUGUGAAAGACACGGGGCCAGAUCGGAUAAAGUGGAUGUGCUGAGCAAUGUUGUGGUCGCAAUGUU